rnacentral:rRNA from 1 species
GUCGAACGAUGAUUAUCUAGCUUGCUAGAUAUGAUUAGUGGCGGACGGGUGAGUAACAUUUAGGAAUCUGCCUAGUAGUGGGGGAUAGCUCGGGGAAACUCGAAUUAAUACCGCAUACGACCUACGGGUGAAAGGGGGCGCAAGCUCUUGCUAUUAGAUGAGCCUAAAUCAGAUUAGCUAGUUGGUGGGGUAAAGGCCCACCAAGGCGACGAUCUGUAACUGGUCUGAGAGGAUGAUCAGUCACACCGGAACUGAGACACGGUCCGGACUCCUACGGGAGGCAGCAGUGGGGAAUAUUGGACAAUGGGGGCAACCCUGAUCCAGCCAUGCCGCGUGUGUGAAGAAGGCCUUUUGGUUGUAAAGCACUUUAAGCAGGGAGGAGAGGCUAAUGGUUAAUACCCAUUAGAUUAGACGUUACCUGCAGAAUAAGCACCGGCUAACUCUGUGCCAGCAGCCGCGGUAAUACAGAGGGUGCGAGCGUUAAUCGGAAUUACUGGGCGUAAAGCGAGUGUAGGUGGCUCAUUAAGUCACAUGUGAAAUCCCCGGGCUUAACCUGGGAACUGCAUGUGAUACUGGUGGUGCUAGAAUAUGUGAGAGGGAAGUAGAAUUCCAGGUGUAGCGGUGAAAUGCGUAGAGAUCUGGAGGAAUACCGAUGGCGAAGGCAGCUUCCUGGCAUAAUAUUGACACUGAGAUUCGAAAGCGUGGGUAGCAAACAGGAUUAGAUACCCUGGUAGUCCACGCCGUAAACGAUGUCUACUAGCCGUUGGGGUCCUUGAGACUUUAGUGGCGCAGUUAACGCGAUAAGUAGACCGCCUGGGGAGUACGGCCGCAAGGUUAAAACUCAAAUGAAUUGACGGGGGCCCGCACAAGCGGUGGAGCAUGUGGUUUAAUUCGAUGCAACGCGAAGAACCUUACCUGGUCUUGACAUAGUGAGAAUCCUGCAGAGAUGCGGGAGUGCCUUCGGGAAUUCACAUACAGGUGCUGCAUGGCUGUCGUCAGCUCGUGUCGUGAGAUGU